rnacentral:tRNA from 1 species
GGGGUUGUGGCUCAGCAGUAGAGCGUUCGUCUAGCACAUGGGAGGCCCUGGGUUCGAUUCUCAACACCA